UCUAAAGAGUGGGUAUUUGGGGUUUUCCUUGCAGGGGCACUCUACCCUUUUUUACCCUUCUCUGUGCACCAGGAGACUGAACCAGACACAUCAAAUACACGCCCUCCUCUUCACUUCCUGCACCUCUGACUUCCUUUUGUAUUACUACAAGAAGCACCUAUGGAAGAGAAAAACUAUAUCCAGGGAGAAGAAAUAAAUAGACGGCAGAAAGAUUCUAUGAAUUGUGUAACCAGGUGCUGAACUUGUAAGACUCCCCCCC